rnacentral:rRNA from 1 species
CCAAUAGCGUAUAUUAAAGUUGUUGCAGUUAAAAAGCUCGUAGUUGAAUUUCGGGAUCAAUACGUCGGUCGUGCCUCUGGUAUGUACUGGUGUUAUUGAUUUCUCCCUUCUGAUGAACCAUGAUGUCAUUAAUUUGGUGUUGUGUGGAGUCAGGACUGUUACUUUGAAAAAAUUAGAGUGUUUAAAGCAGGCUCACGCUUGAAUACAUUAGCAUGGAAUAAUGAAAUAGGACGUUCGAUCCUAUUUUGUUGGUUUCUAGGAUCAACGUAAUGAUUAAUAGGGAUAGUUGGGGGCAUUAGUAUUCAAUUGUCAGAGGUGAAAUUCUUGGAUUUAUUGAAGACUAACUACUGCGAAAGCAUUUGCCAAGGAUGUUUUCAUUAAUCAAGAACGAAAGUUAGGGGAUCGAAGACGAUCAGAUACCGUCGUAGUCUUAACCAUAAACUAUGCCGACUAGGGAUCGGAUGAUGUUAAUUUUUUAAUGACUCAUUCGGCGCCUUACG